GAGCAGACGACAAUUAAACAAACAAUACAUUUUAUUUAUUUUUUAUUUUGAGAGCGUAAUAAAAUACUAGAAAUCAAAGAUAAAGCAUAGAAGGAAAUAGUUUGUGCACUACACAAUGGACGUCCUACUAUUUUGUCAGGGGCCAGGUUGAGGUCAUCAUGGUCGAAUUAGAAGAAAACUUAGAAUAGAAUUGAUGAUGGCAUCAUUUCAGGCAUCAGAGUUUUCUUGUCUUACAACAUCAUCCAUUGAACAAGUCACUUGGUGGUUUUCGUUGAUGAAGUAACUUAAACACUCUGAAGUCUGAACAAUGUAAAGGUUUUUUAAAAAGAUUGAGGACUAGAAAUU